rnacentral:rRNA from 1 species
UAGGGAAUCUUCCGCAAUGGGCGAAAGCCUGACGGAGCAACGCCGNGUGAGUGAUGAAGGCCUUCGGAUCGUAAAACUCUGUUAUUAGGGAAGAACAUAUGUGUAAGUAACUGUGCACAUCUUGACGGUACCUAAUCAGAAAGCCACGGCUAACUACGUGCCAGCAGCCGCGUAAUACGUAGGUGGCAAGCGUUAUCCGGAAUUAUUGGGCGUAAAGGGCGCGUAGGCGGUUUUUUAAGUCUGAUGUGAAAGCCCACGCUCCAACCGUGGAGGGGUCAUUGGAAACUGGAAAACUUGAGUGCAGAAAGAGGAAAGUGGAAUUCCAAUGUUGUGCCGGUGAAAUGCGCAGAGAUAUGGAGGAACACCAGUGGCGAAGGNGACUUUUCUGGCCUGUAACUGANNGCUGAUGGUGCGAAAGCGUGGGGGAUCCAAACAGGAUUAAGAUACCCUGGGUAGUCCCACGCCCGUAAACGAUUGAAGUNGCUANNUGUUUAAGGGGGUUUCCGNCCCCNUUAGUGCUGCAGCUAACGCAUUUANGCACUCCGCCUGGGGAGUACGACNGCANNNUG